UUCGGUUUGGAGACAUCAUGAAGAUAAUAGCUGCUGCCGGUGGUUGGUUCACGAUCCUGUGAUUCAUAAAUCUGACCUGCCUGUCGCACAUCGAAACUCCUGUCGACGCGUUCUCGGGAUUGCGGAGGGUUAUGCGAUGGCGCAUUUGCACUAUACCCGAUCGUUACGCGAACCAUUUGCUCUAUUUGUUUUGCGAACUCAUAACAUUUCUGACCUAAAGGCCUAUUGACGGGGAUAUCUGUCGAAGCACGCUCAGCAGCCGUAUUCCACUGCUUUAAAGCGGUUUUGACUGAACUCCGAAGAUCUCUCUUAUUGUAACUGGGCCUCCAAUCAAUUCCAGUAUCAACGGCAGCUUUGACUAUAGCCUCAGACAAUUCAUGUUUUCCGCAUGAAUUGCAGAAGGCUACCAUAUAUAGGAUU
rnacentral:sRNA from 2 species